CCGUGCUAGACGGGGAGGUAGCGGCGCCCUGUACCCGCAAUCCGCUAUAGCGGGGUUGAAUUCCUGUUUUGAGGAAUAAUCUUGUGAGGUCUGGCUUUAGCAAGUAGUGAUGAAAACCGGGUCCUGCGCAACGGAAAUUUGUGAACCCCGUCAGGUCCGGAAGGAAGCAGCGGUAAGCAAAACCUUUCGUGUGCCGCAGGGCGGCCUGGUUCGAGCCAACUACUAGAGUAACGCUUGGAAGGUUAUAUUCGACAACAGGUGCACGG
rnacentral:SRP_RNA from 1 species